UACGUAGGGCGCAAGCGUUGUCCGGAAUUAUUGGGCGUAAAGAGCUCGUAGGCGGUUUGUCGCGUCUGCUGUGAAAACCUAAGGCUCAACCUUGGGCUUGCAGUGGUACGGGCAGACUAGAGUGCGGUAGGGGUGACUGGAAUUCCUGGUGUAGCGGUGGAAUGCGCAGAUAUCAGGAGGAACACCGAUGGCGAAGGCAGGUCACUGGGCCG
rnacentral:rRNA from 1 species